GAUGAACGCUGGCGGCGUGCCUAAUACAUGCAAGUCGAGCGAACAGACAAGGAGCUUGCUCCUUUGACGUUAGCGGCGGACGGGUGAGUAACACGUGGGUAACCUACCUAUAAGACUGGGAUAACUUCGGGAAACCGGAGCUAAUACCGGAUAAUAUUUCGAACCGCAUGGUUCGAUAGUGAAAGAUGGUUUUGCUAUCACUUAUAGAUGGACCCGCGCCGUAUUAGCUAGUUGGUAAGGUAACGGCUUACCAAGGCGACGAUACGUAGCCGACCUGAGAGGGUGAUCGGCCACACUGGAACUGAGACACGGUCCAGACUCCUACGGGAGGCAGCAGUAGGGAAUCUUCCGCAAUGGGCGAAAGCCUGACGGAGCAACGCCGCGUGAGUGAUGAAGGUCUUCGGAUCGUAAAACUCUGUUAUUAGGGAAGAACAUACGUGUAAGUAACUAUGCACGUCUUGACGGUACCUAAUCAGAAAGCCACGGCUAACUACGUGCCAGCAGCCGCGGUAAUACGUAGGUGGCAAGCGUUAUCCGGAAUUAUUGGGCGUAAAGCGCGCGUAGGCGGUUUUUUAAGUCUGAUGUGAAAGCCCACGGCUCAACCGUGGAGGGUCAUUGGAAACUGGAAAACUUGAGUGCAGAAGAGGAAAGUGGAAUUCCAUGUGUAGCGGUGAAAUGCGCAGAGAUAUGGAGGAACACCAGUGGCGAAGGCGACUUUCUGGUCUGUAACUGACGCUGAUGUGCGAAAGCGUGGGGAUCAAACAGGAUUAGAUACCCUGGUAGUCCACGCCGUAAACGAUGAGUGCUAAGUGUUAGGGGGUUUCCGCCCCUUAGUGCUGCAGCUAACGCAUUAAGCACUCCGC
rnacentral:rRNA from 1 species